GACUAGCCCCGGUUGAAGUGAAAAUCCUCCCGAUUUUUCUCGGGAGAUUGAAGCGAAAAACGGGAACGAUC
rnacentral:sRNA from 1 species